rnacentral:rRNA from 1 species
GACGAACCGUGCGAACGUUGUUCGGAAUCACUGGGCUUAAAGGGCGCGUAGGCGGACCUCCAAGUCCGGGGUGAAAUCUUUCGGCUUAACCGGAAAAGUGCCUUGGAUACUGGGGGUCUCGAGGGAGGCAGGGGCGGAUGGAACUUCCGGUGGAGCGGUGAAAUGCGUUGAUAUCGGAAGGAACGCCGGUGGCGAAAGCGACACACUGGGUCUCAACUGACGCUGAGGCACGAAAGCCAGGGGAGCGAACGGG